rnacentral:rRNA from 1 species
UGCCAGACUCCUACGGGAGGCAGCAGUGGGGGAUAUUGCACAAUGGGGGAAACCCUGAUGCAGCGACGCCGCGUGGGUGAAGAAGCGCCUCGGCGCGUAAAGCCCUGUCAGCAGGGAAGAAAAUGACGGUACCUGAAGAAGAAGCCCCGGCUAACUACGUGCCAGCAGCCGCGGUAAUACGUAGGGGGCAAGCGUUAUCCGGAUUUACUGGGUGUAAAGGGGGCGCAGGCGGGGAUGCAAGUUGGGUGUCAAAACUACCGGCUCAACUGGUAGUCGCACUCAAAACUGCAGCUCUUGAGUGAAGUAGAGGCAGGCGGAAUUCCUAGUGUAGCGGUGAAAUGCGUAGAUAUUAGGAGGAACACCAGUGGCGAAGGCGGCCUGCUGGGCCUUUACUGACGCUGAGGCUCGAAAGUGUGGGGAGCAAACAGGAUUAGAUACCCUGGUAC